rnacentral:rRNA from 1 species
UACGGAGGGUGCAAGCGUUAGUCGGAAUUACUGGGCGUAAAGGGUGCGUAGGUGGGGAUGUAAGUUAGAUGUGAAAUACCGUUGCUCAACAACGGCCGUGCAUCUAAAACUGCGUUUCUAGAGGGAUAGCGGAGAAAACGGAAUUCCAUGUGUAGCGGUGAAAUGCGUAGAUAUAUGGAAGAACACCAGUGGCGAAGGCGGCUUACUGGUCCGGUACUGACGCUGAGGUGCGAAAGCGUGGGGAGCAAACAGG